UCUCCGUUGGUGAACCAGCGGAGGGAUCAUUACAGAGUUGCAAAACUCCCAAACCAUUGUGAACGUUACCUAUCCCGUUGCUUCGGCGGGCGGCCCGGGCCCCGCGCCCGCCGCUCCCCGGCCCCCGUGGGCGCCCGCCGGAGGUAAACCAAACCCUUGAAUUGCAUGGCCUCUCUGAGUCUUUUUUUCUGAAUAUGUCUAAACUUUCAACAACGGAUCUCUUAGGUCUGGCCUCGUGAAAGAACGCCGCAGACCGUAAGAGCACACGCCUUAACUCCC
rnacentral:misc_RNA from 1 species